rnacentral:rRNA from 1 species
AUACGGAGGGUGCAAGCGUUAUUCGGAAUCACUGGGCGUAAAGGACGCGUAGGCGGGUUGGCAAGUCAGAUGUGAAAUCCUACAGCUUAACUGUAGAACUGCAUUUGAAACUGCUAACCUAGAGUAUGGGAGGGGGAGAUGGAAUUAGUGGUGUAGGGGUAAAAUCCGUAGAUAUCACUAGGAAUACCGAAAGCGAAGGCGAUCUCCUGGAACAUAACUGACGCUGAGGCGUGAAAGCGUGGGGAGCAAACAGAAUUAGAAACCCUAGUAGUCC